rnacentral:rRNA from 1 species
GACGAACGCUGGCGGCGUGCUUAACACAUGCAAGUCGAACGGAGUGGCGAACGGGUGUGUAACACGUGGGUGACCUGCCCUGCACUUCGGGUUAAGCCUGGGAAACUGUGUCUAAUACCGGAUAGUGUGGGAUGGGCCCGCGGCCGAUCAGCUUGUUGGUGGGGUCAUGGCCUACCAAGGCGGCGACGGGUAGCCGGCCUGAGAGGGUGGACGGCCACAUUGAGACUGAGACACGGCCCAGACUCCUACGGGAGGCAGAAGUGGGGAAGAUUGCACAAGGGGCGGAAGCCUGAUGCAGCGACGCCGCGUGGGGGAUGACGGCCUUCGGGUUGGAAACUCCUUUCACCAUCGAAGAGGGAGAUGGAGAAGAAGCACCGGCUAAAUACGUGCCAGCCGCCGCGGUAAUAC